rnacentral:lncRNA from 10 species
GGAGGAGGAGGGGUGCGAGGUGCCUGGCUCUGAGGGCCGCCGGGGCUGUGAAGCCUGUCAUUAGCGAUUAGCUCACGUCAGUCACUCACGCAUCCCUGUUUGCCCUGCUGCUGACCUCGCGCGAGGCGGCCACCUUGUGGGAGAUGUUUUCGUGAGGCAACAGACGCUGGCCGUUCCCAGCGUCACGCAGAGUUCGGAUCCACUCUAGCGAGAGACCACAGCGUCCGGGAGCAGCUUGUGAAACUCUGGCGAGCGUCAGCCUUGAAAAUAAAAAGUAUUGGCAGCCGUCGACGAGCACAGGUUCCUAAAACUUAGAUCGAAGAGAAGUACCAGCCUUCAAAAAUAAACCAGCACCAAAAGCCCCCUGUGCUUAUAGGUGACGUGCGGGCUGGGAGUGCAGUGGUGUCACCUCGCCUUGUAUGUCAUCGCCGGUUGUGUGCCUAACAUACAUACAAAAAGGAUAACUCGAAUUUAGCCAUCACGCAUUUUCAAAAAUACUGCUUGGAAAUUGAAUGUUUGGAGAAAAGAUAUAAUCUGGGGUUUCUACACGGUCUGAAUUGGGUUCAUUUCCGUUUAGCAAACAUUUAUUGAGCUCCCAGCGUGGGUCACAGAAUUCAGUAAACCUGAUCCCGUGUUCAAGGUGCUAUAUUCCGAUGCAGGGCAGGGCGAUGCAGUGAAAGAAUGGUGGCCACAGCAGUAGCAUGCUAAUAGCCUGGUGGGCAGGUACAGGUUUUGCAUUUCUUUGGCGAGAUCACUUUUGAGUGUCUCCACUGGGUGGCAGAAUUAAGACCCGU